GCGUAAGCGCGCGCAGGUGGUUUCUUAAGUCUGAUGUGAAAGCCCACGCCUCUACCGUGGAGGGUCAUUGGAAACUGGGAGACUUGAGUGCCUUAGAGGAAAGUGGAAUUCCAUGUGUAGCGGUGAAAUGCGUAGAGAUAUGGAGGAACACCAGUGGCGAAGGCUACUCUCUGGAAUGUAACUGACACUGAGGCGCGAAAGCGUGGGGAGCAAACAGGAUUAGAUACCCUGGUAGUCCACGCCGUAAACGAUGAGUGCUAAGUGUUAGAGGGUUUCCGCCCUUUAAUGCUGAAGUUAACGCAUUAAGCACUCCGCCUGGGGAGUACGGCCGCAAGGCUGAAACUCAAAGGAAUUGACGGGGGCC
rnacentral:rRNA from 1 species